CUAAACUGAAUCGGAGAGCAAAAAUCUGACUGCAUCUGUUGAGAUAGAAUACUUUUCAUCAUUUGAUACUAAAGAUGCUGUCAUUGAUGAUCAUCAUGGCUUCCAUACUUCACACUGGUCUGUGUGAACUGGACAUGCAGCACCCAAAUACGCCCUGCACCCCAGCAAAAAACGUGAAUGCUUACAACUCAUUUCUCAAAAACCACAUUCGUGAUGACCUUCCAACUGAUCUGAAAAAAGAGAACUGGAAAAAGUACAUCAACAGAAUUGGCACCUGGGACAGGCCGGUUCAGUCCUUUUUUCCUUUGAGUUUAAAAAACAAUUUGACAAAUGUGUGUUCAUCAGGAGGAAAGAUGUAUCGGGGCAACCUCUGCAUCAGCAAGACACCCUUUUCCUUUAUCACAGUGAAGAUCGACAGUACAACUAAAACAAUCAAAAGAGUGGAACGUCGUGAGAACUAUGUUAUUCUAGCUUGUGAUAGAUUUGGCAACAAAUGCCUCCCUGACCAUUUUGAGGCAAACACCAAUAACAUUCAACCAAAUAUCAAAAAGCCAAACUGCAGUAAAUCCUGGCUUGUAUCGGUUUAUGAGGAAGCAUUUCCCUGGCUGUAAUGUACUGUAACUAAAAUAUUAACCAGCAGAACUAUUUUUUUCAGUGUCACUGUAUUGUUUUUUAGCAACAUCUAUAAUGCAGUAGUUGCUGAAAAAAUAUAGAAUAAAUUGCAUUCAUAAAAACA